UACAGAGGGUGCGAGCGUUGUCCGGAAUCACUGGGCGUAAAGGGCGCGUAGGUGGCGACCCAAGUCUGUGGUGAAAGCUCGACGCUCAACGUCGAGUCGGCCAUAGGUACUGGGUUGCUCGAGCACUGUAGAGGCAGAUGGAAUUCCGGGUGUAGCGGUGGAAUGCGUAGAGAUCCGGAAGAACACCGGUGGCGAAGGCGGUCUGCUGGGCAGUUGCUGACACUGAGGCGCGACAGCGUGGGGAGCAAACAGG
rnacentral:rRNA from 1 species